rnacentral:rRNA from 1 species
CCCUUAGAUGUUCUGGGCCGCACGCGCGCUACACUGAUGCAUUCAACGAGCCUAUCCUUGACCGACAGGUCCGGGUAAUCUUUGAAUCUGCAUCGUGACGGGGAUAGAUUAUUGCAAUUAUUAAUCUUCAACGAGGAAUGCCUAGUAGGCGCAAGUCAUCAGCUUGCGUCGAUUACGUCCCUGCCCUUUGUACACACCGCCCGUCGCUCCUACCGAUUGGGUGUGCUGGUGAAAUGUUCGGAUCGGCCGUUUGUCGCGGUUUCCGCGUCAUGGGGCUGAGAAGUUCAUUAAACCCUCCCACCUAGAGGAAGGAGAAGUCGUAACA